ACCGGCGCACGGGUGCGUAACGCGUAUAGAAUCUGCCUCGUACAGGGGGAUAGCCCAGAGAAAUUUGGAUUAAUACCCCCAUAAUGUUGUGAAAUGGCAUCAUUUUAUAAUUAAAGAUUUAUCGGUACGAGAUGACUAUGCGUCCUAUUAGCUAGUUGGUAAGGUAACGGCUUACCAAGGCGACGACAGGUAGGGGGUCUGAGAGGAAGAUCCCCCACACUGGGACUGAGACACGGCCCAGACUCCUACGGGAGGCAGCAGUGAGGAAUAUUGGACAAUGGAGGCAACUCUGAUCCAGCCAUGCCGCGUGAAGGACUAAGGCCCUAUGGGUCGUAAACUUCUUUUUACGCAGAGCAAUAAUAUGUACGUGUACAUAGAUGAGAGUAUGUGUAGAAUAAGCAUCGGCUAACUCCGUGCCAGCAGCCGCGGUAAUACGGAGGAUGCGAGCGUUAUCCGGAUUUAUUGGGUUUAAAGGGUGCGUAGGCGGUUAAUCAAGUCAGUGGUGAAAUACACUCGCUCAACGAGUGGGCUGCCAUUGAAACUGAUUGGCUUGAGUACGGAUGCCGUGUGAGGAAUGAGUAGUGUAGCGGUGAAAUGCAUAGAUAUUACUCAGAACACCGAUUGCGAAGGCAUCUCACGAAUCCGCAACUGACGCUGAUGCACGAAAGCGUGGGUAUCCAACAGGAUUAGAUACCCUGGUAGUCCACGCUGUAAACGAUGAUAACUAACUGUCGGCGAUACACAGUCGGUGGCCAAGCGAAAGCGAUAAGUUAUCCACCUGGGGAGUACGACCGCAAGAGUUGAAACUCAAAGGAAUUGACGGGGGCCCGCACAAGCGGAGGAACAUGUGGUUUAAUUCGAUGAUACGCGAGGAACCUUACCCAGGCUCGAACGGCGUAUGAAUAUGGUAGAGAUGCUAUAGUCUUCGGACAUAUGUCGAGGUGCUGCAUGGUUGUCGUCAGCUCGUGCCGUGAGGUGUCGGCUUAAGUGCCAUAACGAGCGCAACCCUUGCCGUUAGUUACCAUCAAGUUGUGUUGGGGACUCUAGCGGGACUGCCACCGCAAGGUGUGAGGAGGGGGGGGAUGACGUCAAAUCAGCACGGCCCUUACGUCUGGGGCGACACACGUGUUACAAUGGUAGGUACAGAGGGCAGCUAUUGGGUGACCAAAUGCCAAUCUCCAAAACCUAUCUCAGUUCGGACUGGAGUCUGCAACUCGACUCCACGAAGUUGGAUUCGCUAGUAAUCGCACAUCAGCCAUGGUGCGGUGAAUACGUUCCCGGGCCUUGUACACACCGCCCGUCAAGCCAUGAAAGCCGAGGGUGCCUGAAGUUCGUGACCGUGAGGAGCGACCUAGGGCAAAAUUGGUGAUUGGGGCUAAGUCGUAACAAGGUAGCC
rnacentral:rRNA from 1 species